rfam:Rattus norvegicus chromosome 12, whole genome shotgun sequence.
GGAUUAGCAGGGAAUGAAGCCCCUGUUGAGCUUGACUCUAGUCUAGCAUGGUGAAGAGACAUGAGAACAGUGCAAUAAGUAGAAGACCUCUGAUGCUCUCUGGUUCCCUGGGAGGGGUCAGGGUGAGGUCCACCAGCCUCACAGACUACAGUGAAAUGCUACUUCUCAUCAUUUUCCACUGACCCAGGGAGACAGGGGUGGCUUGAGCCAUGAGUGGUUCUCACUUCUGGCACCAAGUGUCUGUCACACAUAUUGUAUGCUAUGGCCCAUUCUGGGAACAGUGCCAUGUUCAUCGUUUGACUGGGGAGUUACACUUGUCAAACAGUAAUGCAGGUGACCUACAGCGAACUCACAGAUGACGGAAACUAUCCUUAAAGCUUGCUCUACCAUGAUUUUCAUUACACAUACAAACCAUGAAUGCAGGGCAUGAAGAUCCUUCUGAAUUUUUGGUUUUUAAGUAGGAAUUUUCAGAAAAGUUACCACAGGAAUAACUGCCUUCUGGAAGGAAAGUGUUCAUAGUGACAUAGUUUUAUUGACCCUGCAAUGUCUGCUGUUCUUGUGAUUUUGAAGCAGGAUUCACCUAGGGUUGGAUUGUUGACCCAGUAAUAGGGAAUGUGAGCUGGAUUAGAACAUCAUGAGACAGAUUCGUUUUACCUACUGAUUAUGUGCUUUUUGCCUUUGAAUCCUGCUCAGUAUGAGAGGAACAAUAUGUUCAGACAUUUGGUGUGUAUGCUCCACUGAGAAGACAAUGAGCAAGACUACCACUUGUAGAAUUAUGACUUAAGGCCCCUAAGUUGAUAUUCCACCGAUGCAGGGCUGUAAAAUGG